CACACACGGAAAGAACUGGAGAAAAACUUCAUCUUAGGUCCAGGUAAAUACAAUAUUGUAACGGCAUUUCCCACUAUCUAUGUCCAUUUUGAUUAAACAUAAGUCUGAGAGAUGUCAAUGUCAAAAAAGGAAAUUGAUCUGUCUAGAUGCCCAUGUAGAUUUGAUCUCAGCCAGUCAAAUGUUUUGAUCAAUUAACAGUUUUACAACUGAAUAAUCUUUGAGUUAAUGAAAAGGACUUUGCGACUCGAACUUGGUGAUGCCUUGAUACUGAACAGAGAUAGUAGCUAAGGAGAGAUGCAUUUUAAAUACACUGCUUAAACCAAGAGACACUCAUAAGUAGUGUGUAGCAAUGCCAUAAACAUUGCACUCCUAAUGUUUUCCCUAAAGCACAGUAACUCAAGCACUCUUCUGCAUAAUUUUCAAAUUAAAAUCUCAUGAAAAACCAGCCAUAUAGUAUGAGAUCAUGGAUAAAUCAAUUGCACUGUCUUAAUCCAUUUAUUCUUAAAUAAAUUUAGGGUGCAAGGAUAGCAGGGAAUGAAAUAACACAACAUACAAAAGAAAAGGGGUGGGUAGGAUUCCAUUUCCCUGUUCUUCACAGCAUAGUCUCAAUAGAAGCCUGUAGGGUUCAGAUAGCUGGUCAAAUAACUUAAAAACAAAAACCAGGCAACUCCAUGAAGCCUUCAAAGGUUAUAAUCUGCAUGUCCUGUAUUCCAGGAUUAUCCUAGAAUAGUCUCCUUGGCAUCAGUUGCACUUUGGUGAGAGAACACCUAAUUAGAGCACAAAUGGUUUAGAGACCCACAGUCAGAAGAACAUGUUCAAGGCUCUUAAAAAUUAUAGAGCACCGGUUGUCAGAAGAACCUCCUAUGUAUCCAAAUUCAUUUAAGUCUAGUGACACAUUAAAUACAUUUUGGGCUGGCAUUUACCUAGAAGCAAAUUCAUCUUUGCCCACAGUUACCUUUUUGGUGGGAAAGCCCCUCUGUCGGAUACUUGAGCAGAGACAAGAAGCACUGUUACAGAUAAAAUUGCAGGAGUUAAUUCUCUGUUAAGAAACAAACAGUGAAAUCUAUCUUGUAUCCAAAAGGUGACUUUUGUGCUUAUCGGAUUAUUGAGCUUUCCCCUGAGUUAUUGAGAUGCUCACUGUGCUUUCAUGACGUGGAUUAUUGUUGUAAAUGAUUUGUUCCAACCCUUUCUUUGAUAGAUUUGGGGGAGUGGGCAGAAGCGGAGGUUCUCACCUUGUUCCUUGGCCUGCUGUACAACCCCAUCUCCUUUUCGGGAUGCUGUCCCUAGUGGUAGGCUUUGAGGAGGUGUAGCAGCACAACAUGGUUUGUAGGGACAAGAAGAUACAGACCGUUCUGGGCUGCCUCCUCUCCUCAAGGAUUAAGUCAAGAAAGGUGAUCAGCACCCUUGGAGCCAAGAAAGUUAGGAAUUUAAGGUUCCAGCACCAUCCUUAGGUUGCAUGAUCAGCCCUGAGCAGCAAUCAAAAAUGCAAAGAUGGGUGGCGUGUGAACUGGCUUGGAGUUCUGAAGAGCUGUUUGCCAUGAGAGGUCAGCUUCAGCCUGCCCUUCCAUAGAAUUCUGCAAAGCUUGCACCAAAGUAGCUUGAGGUUUGCAUCCUUCAAGCCCCAUCUUAGGAAUGAUAAGUAUGCCUUGAGUUCAGCGGCAUUCCCAAAAGAGGCUGCAUAAGCGUGCAAACCUAGUUUCCUCUGAAAGGCGAGCAGAUGCAAGUUGGCUUCCGAGGUGCAUGCAGCCAAAGAACCGCUGGCGGGGCCGUGGAGAACAGAGGAGGUUGCACUACUGCAACCCUGCAUGAUUAACUGGUCUGGCCUUCCCGCCUUCCACUCAGCUGGGGAGCAGAAGCCUGAAGCCGUCUUGGGAGCCUUGCAGAGACGGCUCCCGCGAGGAAACAUCUGUCCGCCGAGCUCUAGCAGCACGUAAAUACUGGAGUAUAGGAUUGGCUGAAUACCCUCCAGUAUUGCUUUGCUGCUCUAGCCAGGCUGGACAUUGGCACACAUGCGCUUCUGCGGAGAACAUCUGUGGACUCUUGAAACCGGGGGGGGGGAAUUGCGGCUUCCUAUCAGCUCAGGGGUGAAAGGAGCAGUCUCACUAGAAUGGCAAGAGACAGUUUCAAAGAUGAUGUGGUUCUAUCGGUGUAAUUGUGUGUUGUGUGUGCGUGUGUGAUUUCCAUGAAGCGCCCCCCCCCCCCCAAAAAAAAUCUGGUAAACUGGGUCUGGAGGCAGCUUUUCUCUUAACGAGGCAGCUAGUUGGCUGCCUCGUUAAAAGAAGGAAAGCAGCAAUCCUUUUUUGUAAGUGCUUGAAAUGCUUCAGUUACAGGAUCUCCCAAUCCCAAUAUCCCAGUGAGGUGGGCCAGCAAUAAAGAGGGGGUUAGAUUGUCUCAAAAGGCCCAGCUAUGGAUGGCCUCCUUAGUGCUGCCUGUUUAAAUUAGAUUGUGUGUGUGUGCUGAUCUGUCCUUGUUUUUGUGUUGGUUUUAUUCUUCUGUUGACUGCAUCGUUUCGCGUUCUUGUUUUGUAAACCGCUUUGGAGAGACCUAUGUUUUUAAAGGUGUGGUGUGAAUAUGUGAAAUAAAUAAAAGUAAAAUAA